CUACAACAACCCCCACCCUAGGUUCUGGAUAGCACGGACUCUUAUCUAGCCCAAGACCCAGGCGGCCACACCACAAGCCCAAAACCACAGGUGUUUCAGGAAAGAUCAUUGGGGGGCUAUCUCGAGAUCCUGCACGUGAACACGAGGUCAGCAGCCUCCCGGACAAUGCAAGCAGAAACUCUGGGGACCUGUCUUCCUGUGCCUAAAGGAUCCAAGGCUUGUUCUGAGACUCCCAUAUGGUGGGCUCCUUGCCGGCCCCUCGGCAUCGGAGGUCCUGGAACUGGUGUUUGGGGGUCUUUCUAACUGACCACCGGAGGCAGCCUGGGUUCCAGUUGCAAGGUAUUCUGAGGAUGGACUCAAGAACAAAACCUGUUCAUUCAUGACGUCUGCUAUGGACACAAGACAGAAGAGCAUCCAGACGCGGCGUACUUCAGCCUGUGACUGAAGCCUGGGCUCUUGUCAUUCCUUAGCUCUGGCUGCACCAUCCUUUACUGUCUGCCCUUGUUCCCACCAUUCAAUCUAGAAAUAGCUUUCAAUCUCACAGGAUUUAGCUGGCGGUGUCCAGUCAGGUGCCAUGGCCCCAACAUUGCCUGGAUGGGAUCAUACAGGAAAGGAAAUAGAUUUCCUAGUUAAGGUUAGGCUAUGGCAUGUCAUUAGUGCUCUUUUAUAAAUUAAUUAGGUAUAGAUAAAUCAGUGGUUAGAUGGAUGGACUAGCCAAUUUGUGAGGGUGGCAGGGAAGUGACUUCCCUUCUUGUUAAAAACUAUGAAAGGAAGAGGAAAGAGGGGGAGGAUGGCAAAGGGAAAGUCAUUGUUUCAACCACAGUCUGAAAGGUUUUGUGACAUAUUAUGGAUGGGAGAGAUUUUAAUGUCAGAUUUUAGUGCCAUUUUCUCGGGACUGUGACCUCACAGCCUCGGGACUGUAACUCCACGUGAUUGGGGCUGUGACCCCACAUGUUCAGAGACGUGGCGCCAGUGAAUAGGUCAUGACCCCACGUGCCAGAGGACUUGACCCCAUGUCCCUGGGGUCGUGACCCCAUGUGCUUGAGGCCAUGUCCCCACUUGAUCAGGACUGUGAGCUCACAUCCUCGGGGCGGUGACACCAUGUUCAGGUCCAUGACCCCAUGUCCUCUGAGUAGUGACCCCUUGGGCCAGGGCCUGUGACCCCACAUCCUCGGAGCUGUGACCUCUUGCCUCAGGCAGUGACCCCACGUGAUUGGGGCUAUGAAUGUUGGAAUGUGACCCCUCUGAGCCCUGAUGCCCUCCUUGGUCUAAGUGGGAAACAGAAACCUCACAAGGUGGUUAUGAGAUGUAAAAAUGGGGCCCGGCACAGAGCAGAUCUCAAUAAAAGUCUGUUUCCAAUCUCCUGUGUGUGUCUUCAGUCAGAUGCAAUCUUCUGUGUGGGCAGGGUAGACACUGAAGCCUCACGAGGGGCUCUGAGAUGCACGAGAAUUCCCUGCAUACCCACGGAGUUUGGUGCCCUAUAUUAGCCUGCUCAUGCUGCCGAACAAAGUCCCACAGACUAGGUGGCUUAAACAGGUCUCCAGGGCAGAAGUCUAUGAUCAGGGUGUCUGCAGGGUUGACUCCUUCUGAGGCUGUGAGGGAGCACCUGUUCCAUGCCUCUCCUAACUUCUAGUGGUUGCUGGCAAUCUUUGGUGUUCUCGACUUAUGAUAGUAUAACUCCGGUCUUCACAUGGCAUUCUCCCUUUGUCCCGGUCUGUGUCCAAAUGUCCUCUUUUUAUAGGGACACCAGUCUUAUUGGAUUAUGGGCCUGUCCUCACCUAUAUGACCUCAUUUUAUGUAAUUACGUAUGCAGUAACCAUCUUUACAGAGAAGGUCACAUUCAGAGGUACUGAGAAUUAGGUCUUAAACAUAAGAAUUUGGUGGGGAGUAGGAGGAGGACACAGUUCAACCCAUACGUGCCAGAAACUAUAGGUUUGUUCCCCUAAAGAACCUCAUGGAAAUGCAACUCAUGAAAUUAUAAACCCAUACACUUCAUUUUUUUAAUCACAGGAAGGGAUCUUAGAGAUAACUGAGUUUAAACCUCUCCAGUUACGCUGAGUAAAUAAGGAGAGGAAGUGGUUUGCUAAAGAUCCAGCCAGAAAGGUGAAUGUGACUUCCUAUAAAGACCAAUAUUUGUGGGUUUCCUCUAAUUUUCAA